rnacentral:rRNA from 1 species
UACGAAGGGAGCUAGCGUUGUUCGGAAUCACUGGGCGUAAAGCGCACGUAGGCGGAUUCUUAAGUCAGGGGUGAAAUCCUGGAGCUCAACUCCAGAACUGCCUUUGAUACUGGGAAUCUCGAGUCCGGGAGAGGUGAGUGGAACUGCGAGUGUAGAGGUGAAAUUCGUAGAUAUUCGCAAGAACACCAGUGGCGAAGGCGGCUCACUGGCCCGGUACUGACGCUGAGGUGCGAAAGCGUGGGGAGCAAACAGG